rnacentral:rRNA from 1 species
AGAAGGCUAGGCUGGCGUGGCGUUGGUUGUCCACGUGAAAGUGCGUAGGCUGGGGGUUUUGGUAAAUCCGGACCCCUAAGGCCGAGACACGAGACGAGCGACUACGGUCGUGAAGCAGUUGAUGCCCGGCUUCCAGGAAAAUCCUCUAAACGUAUGUAUAUAAGAACCGUACCCCAAACCGACACAGGUGGUCAGGUAGAGAAUACCAAGGCGCUUGAGAGAACUCGGGUGAAGGAACUAGGCAAAAUGGUACCGUAACUUCGGGAGAAGGUACGCCCCUGUCUGUGAACACUUUACGUGGUAAGCAAAUGGAGGCCGCAGUGACCAGGUGGCUGGGACUGUUUAUUAAAAACACAGCACUCUGCAAACUCGUAAGAGGACGUAUAGGGUGUGACACCUGCCCGGUGCCGGAAGGUUAAUUGAUGGGGUUAGCGUAA